AUUGAACGCUGGCGGCAUGCCUAACACAUGCAAGUCGAACGAGUGGCGGACGGGUGAGUAAUGUCUGGGAAACUGCCUGAUGGAGGGGGAUAACUACUGGAAACGGUAGCUAAUACCGCAUACCAUCGGAUCGGCCCAGAUGGGAUUAGCUAGUAGGUGGGGUAAAGGCUCACCUAGGCGACGAUCCCUAGCUGGUCUGAGAGGAAGACCAGCCACACUGGGACUGAGACACGGUCCAGACUCCUACGGGAGGCAGCAGUGGGGAAUAUUGGACAAUGGGCGAAAGCCUGAUGCAGCCAUGCCGCGUGUAUGAAGAAGGCCUUCGGGUUGUAAAGUACUUUCGGCGGGGAGGCGUUACCUGCAGAAGAAGCACCGGCUAACUCCGUGCCAGCAGCCGCGGUAAUUC
rnacentral:rRNA from 1 species